GAUGCAACUUUCUAUAAAAGUUAUGACCGACUCUAUAAAUAAGAAUUUUGGCAGGCGUUAUUUGCCAGCUCGAGUCCUUACUUUCUUCUCAAGAAAUUUUGCACUUGUGCAUCUACGGGUUCUAGUGCAAGCAAAUGGGAAAAUACCACAAAGGUUGGGCUGCAUAAUCCCGAAUUUAAGCAGAUCAGCUCUGUUCAUAAUGUUACUGAAUCCAACAAGGCACUUUUUACUUGAAAAAAUGGAAGAAGCUGAUGGAGUAAGAGUUGGCCUCAUCAUAAAAAUUAGACCAUUGUUAGUAUUUCCAAUGGUCUCAGGAUUGCGUGAGAGGGUCAAACAAGGGUAGGUCACAGAGGAAGAUAUAGAAGAGGCAGGAGGUUUCAUAUGCAAUCAUAGCAUCUUAUGCCACCUCUUCAUCUUCAUGAAUGAAUGAUGGGCUGAUUGUAGACUUGCUAGUAAAAUAGCUCUUCUAAGAGUUUACCCCUUUGUCUUUACCAUUCUCUAAACCAUUCUCUAGUAGCCUUAUAUGUCAUAGAUGAACUAAGAAUAAGAUACCAUGUAUUCCAUCAGCCAAAUUUAAUUGUAUUAUUAACAAGCAUUUAUCUAUAUACAUUUAUCUGUAUAUCUUAAGCCA